rnacentral:tRNA from 1 species
GCGGCCGUGGCUGACUGGUUUACGGUGUUCGCUUUGUAAGCGAAAGGUUCUGGGUUCGAUUCCCAUCUGCUCCC